rnacentral:rRNA from 1 species
UUUUUGGAGAGUUUGAUCCUGGCUCAGGACGAACGCUGGCGGCGUGCCUAAUACAUGCAAGUCGAGCGGACCAAUAGAAGCUUGCUUCUAUUGGUUAGCGGCGGACGGGUGAGUAACACGUGGGCAACCUGCCUGUAAGACUGGGAUAACUUCGGGAAACCGGAGCUAAUACCGGAUAAUUCAUCCCCUCGCAUGAAGGGAUGCUGAAAGUCGGUUUACGCUGACACUUACAGAUGGGCCCGCGGCGCAUUAGCUAGUUGGUGAGGUAAUGGCUCACCAAGGCGACGAUGCGUAGCCGACCUGAGAGGGUGAUCGGCCACACUGGGACUGAGACACGGCCCAGA